rnacentral:lncRNA from 1 species
AAAACAGGACACCAGCGAUAGUCAUACCAGGACCAGACUCAUAGAUGAAAUGAAGUGUCAUCAUCCAUCACUAUGAACUUCCUUCAUGAGAGAGAAAAGGGGAAAAAGUGAUCUGUGAUCCAAAAGGGAAAAUGCUGUGCUAUAUUUGAUGUGAGGGGAAUUGAACUCAGGACUGCAUACUUGCUGGGCAAUCAUUUACUACUGA